rnacentral:pre_miRNA from 1 species
UGUUGUUGGUGGUGUUGUUUUUUUAAUCAGAAUUGUAGUUUUACUUCAAUAAUCUGCAUAAUAAAGGUAUACAAGGGAUUACGAAGAUAAAACUCCAAUUCUGAUUAGAGAGCAACACCAAUAACACUU